rnacentral:rRNA from 1 species
AUUGAACGCUGGCGGCAGGCCUAACACAUGCAAGUCGAGCGGCAGCGGGAAAGCAGCUUGCUACUUUUGCCGGCGAGCGGCGGACGGGUGAGUAAUGCCUGGGAAAUUGCCCAGUCGAGGGGGAUAACAGUUGGAAACGACUGCUAAUACCGCAUACGCCCCACGGGGGAAAGCAGGGGACCUUCGGGCCUUGCACGAUUGGAUAUGCCCAGGUGGGAUUAGCUAGUUGGUGAGGUAAUGGCUCACCAAGGCGACGAUCCCUAGCUGGUCUGAGAGGAUGAUCAGCCACACUGGAACUGAGACACGAUCCAGACUCCUACGGGAGGCAGCAGUGGGGAAUAUUGCACAAUGGGGGAAACCCUGAUGCAGCCAUGCCGCGUGUGUGAAGAAGGCCUUCGGGUUGUAAAGCACUUUCAGCGAGGAGGAAAGGUUGAUGCCUAAUACGUAUCAACUGUGACGUUACUCGCAGAAGAAGCACCGGCUAACUCCGUGCCAGCCGCCGCAGUAAUAC